CUACGGAGGGUGCAAGCGUUAAUCGGAAUUACUGGGCGUAAAGCGUACGUAGGCGGUUAUUUAAGUCAGAUGUGAAAGCCCCGGGCUUAACUUGGGAACUGCGUUUGAAACUGGGUAACUAGAGUUUAGUAGAGGGGAGUGGAAUUUCAGGUGUAGCGGUGAAAUGCGUAGAGAUCUGAAGGAACACCAGUGGCGAAGGCGACUCCCUGGACUAAAACUGACGCUGAGGUACGAAAGCGUGGGUAGCAAACAGGAUUAGAAACCCCAGUAGUCC
rnacentral:rRNA from 1 species